UACGAAGGGGGCUAGCGUUGUUCGGAGUUACUGGGCGUAAAGGGCGCGUAGGCGGCCCUCCAAGUCGGGCGUGAAAGCCCACGGCUCAACCGUGGAAUUGCGCUCGAGACUGAAGGGCUCGAGGACGGGAGAGGAUGGUGGAAUUCCCAGUGUAGAGGUGAAAUGCGUAGAUAUCGGGAGGAACACCUGUGGCGAAAGCGGCUCACUGGACCACAACUGACGCUGAGGCGCGAAAGCUAGGGGAGCAAACAGG
rnacentral:rRNA from 1 species